rnacentral:lncRNA from 1 species
CCCUUCUUUCUGGCCCCCAAAAUACCCCUAAAUAGACCCCAAUGCACAAACGAACAAUAAAUUGCUCAUCUAGACAUAUAAGUCUAACAUUCUAUGAAACCCUAAGUUAAUCUGACAAGCGAUUUGGAGAAACGCUGCGGACAAGUUCAUUUUUAAAGUGGCGGAAGAAGAGGAAGAAAAAGAAGAGGAAGAAGAAGAAUAAUAAAAAUAAUAAGAACUGAGCAAAAACAAUAAGUCUCCAAACUUUGUUUGGGAGACUUAAUAAUCACAAAAUGCGCGCAAAUGAAAUGCGUCCGCAUAACUUCCACUUACGGAAAAGCGAUUUAUGUUGUACAAACGGGUAUCAUUAUUUGCGAAAGAGUCGUUAGCAAAAUACGACGACGACGACUGGGAAAAAAAUCCCGUUUACUUCGUGAAUAUUGUGAAAUUUGCGCUAAAACAGCUUUUACUUUUUUUUUAGUGUGCCCUUUUAU